rnacentral:rRNA from 1 species
UACGUAGGCAGCAAGCGUUGUUCGGAUUUACUGGGCGUAAAGGGUGUGUAGGCGGCCUGUUAAGUUCCGUGUGAAAUCUCCCGGCUCAACCGGGAGGGUGCGCGGAAUACUGACGGGCUAGAGUGCGGGAUGGGAGAGUAGAAUUCCUGGUGUAGCGGUGAAAUGCGUAGAUAUCAGGAGGAAUACCGGUGGUGUAGACGGCUCUCUGGACCGUAACUGACGCUGAGACACGAAAGCGUGGGUAGCAAACAGG